ACUGGGGAGUAACACGUGGGAAAUCUGCCCACCAUCAAGGGAUAACACUUGGAAACAGGUGCUAAUACCGUAUAACAACAAAAUCCGCAUGGAUUUUGUUUGAAAGGUGGCUUCGGCUAUCACUUCUGGAUGAUCCCGCGGCGUAUUAGUUAGUUGGUGAGGUAAAGGCCCACCAAGACGAUGAUACGUAGCCGACCUGAGAGGGUAAUCGGCCACAUUGGGACUGAGACACGGCCCAAACUCCUACGGGAGGCAGCAGUAGGGAAUCUUCCACAAUGGACGAAAGUCUGAUGGAGCAAUGCCGCGUGAGUGAAGAAGGGUUUCGGCUCGUAAAACUCUGUUGUUAAAGAAGAACACCUUUGAGAGUAACUGUUCAAGGGUUGACGGUAUUUAACCAGAAAGCCACGGCUAACUACGUGCCAGCAGCCGCGGUAAUACGUAGGUGGCAAGCGUUGUCCGGAUUUAUUGGGCGUAAAGCGAGCGCAGGCGGUUUUUUAAGUCUGAUGUGAAAGCCUUCGGCUUAACCGGAGAAGUGCAUCGGAAACUGGGAGGCUUGAGUGCAGAAGAGGACAGUGGAACUCCAUGUGUAGCGGUGGAAUGCGUAGAUAUAUGGAAGAACACCAGUGGCGAAGGCGGCUGUCUAGUCUGUAACUGACGCUGAGGCUCGAAAGCAUGGGUAGCGAACAGGAUUAGAUACCCUGGUAGUCCAUGCCGUAAACGAUGAGUGCUA
rnacentral:rRNA from 1 species